rnacentral:rRNA from 1 species
UACGAGGGGGGCGAGCGUUGUUCGGAAUUAUUGGGCGUAAAGGGUGCGUAGGCGGUUCCGCAAGUCCUGUGUGAAAUCUUCGGGCUCAACUCGAAGUCUGCACGGGAAACUGCGGGGCUUGAGUGUGGGAGAGGUGAGUGGAAUUCCCGGUGUAGCGGUGAAAUGCGCAGAUAUCGGGAAGAACACCCGUGGCGAAGGCGGCUCUCUGGGCCCUACCUGACGCUGAGACGCGAAAGCGUGGGGAGCGAACCGG